rnacentral:rRNA from 1 species
GGGGGCUAGCGUUGUUCGGAAUUACUGGGCGUAAAGCGCACGUAGGCGGCUUUGUAAGUUAGAGGUGAAAGCCCGGGGCUCAACUCCGGAACUGCCUUUAAGACUGCAUCGCUUGAAUCCAGGAGAGGUGAGUGGAAUUCCGAGUGUAGAGGUGAAAUUCGUAGAUAUUCGGAAGAACACCAGUGGCGAAGGCGGCUCACUGGACUGGUAUUGACGCUGAGGUGCGAAAGCGUGGGGAGCAAACAGG